rnacentral:rRNA from 1 species
ACUAAGCGUACACGGUGGAUGCCCUGGCAGUCAGAGGCGAUGAAGGACGUGCUAAUCUGCGAUAAGCGUCGGUAAGGUGAUAUGAACCGUUAUAACCGGCGAUUUCCGAAUGGGGAAACCCAGUGUGUUUCGACACACUAUCAUUAACUGAAUCCAUAGGUUAAUGAGGCGAACCGGGGGAACUGAAACAUCUAAGUACCCCGAGGAAAAGAAAUCAACCGAGAUUCCCCCAGUAGCGGCGAGCGAACGGGGAGCAGCCCAGAGCCUGAAUCAGUGUGUGUGUUAGUGGAAGCGUCUGGAAAGGCGCGCGAUACAGGGUGACAGCCCCGUACACAAAAAUGCACAUAUUGUGAGCUCGAUGAGUAGGGCGGGACACGUGGUAUCCUGUCUGAAUAUGGGGGGACCAUCCUCCAAGGCUAAAUACUCCUGACUGACCGAUAGUGAACCAGUACCGUGAGGGAAAGGCGAAAAGAACCCCGGCGAGGGGAGUGAAAAAGAACCUGAAACCGUGUACGUACAAGCAGUGGGAGCACGCUUAGGCGUGUGACUGCGUACCUUUUGUAUAAUGGGUCAGCGACUUAUAUUCUGUAGCAAGGUUAACCGAAUAGGGGAGCCGAAGGGAAACCGAGUCUUAACUGGGCGUUAAGUUGCAGGGUAUAGACCCGAAACCCGGUGAUCUAGCCAUGGGCAGGUUGAAGGUUGGGUAACACUAACUGGAGGACCGAACCGACUAAUGUUGAAAAAUUAGCGGAUGACUUGUGGCUGGGGGUGAAAGGCCAAUCAAACCGGGAGAUAGCUGGUUCUCCCCGAAAGCUAUUUAGGUAGCGCCUCGUGAAUUCAUCUCCGGGGGUAGAGCACUGUUUCGGCAAGGGGGUCAUCCCGACUUACCAACCCGAUGCAAACUGCGAAUACCGGAGAAUGUUAUCACGGGAGACACACGGCGGGUGCUAACGUCCGUCGUGAAGAGGGAAACAACCCAGACCGCCAGCUAAGGUCCCAAAGUCAUGGUUAAGUGGGAAACGAUGUGGGAAGGCCCAGACAGCCAGGAUGUUGGCUUAGAAGCAGCCAUCAUUUAAAGAAAGCGUAAUAGCUCACUGGUCGAGUCGGCCUGCGCGGAAGAUGUAACGGGGCUAAACCAUGCACCGAAGCUGCGGCAGCGACGCUUAUGCGUUGUUGGGUAGGGGAGCGUUCUGUAAGCCUGCGAAGGUGUGCUGUGAGGCAUGCUGGAGGUAUCAGAAGUGCGAAUGCUGACAUAAGUAACGAUAAAGCGGGUGAAAAGCCCGCUCGCCGGAAGACCAAGGGUUCCUGUCCAACGUUAAUCGGGGCAGGGUGAGUCGACCCCUAAGGCGAGGCCGAAAGGCGUAGUCGAUGGGAAACAGGUUAAUAUUCCUGUACUUGGUGUUACUGCGAAGGGGGGACGGAGAAGGCUAUGUUGGCCGGGCGACGGUUGUCCCGGUUUAAGCGUGUAGGCUGGUUUUCCAGGCAAAUCCGGAAAAUCAAGGCUGAGGCGUGAUGACGAGGCACUACGGUGCUGAAGCAACAAAUGCCCUGCUUCCAGGAAAAGCCUCUAAGCAUCAGGUAACAUCAAAUCGUACCCCAAACCGACACAGGUGGUCAGGUAGAGAAUACCAAGGCGCUUGAGAGAACUCGGGUGAAGGAACUAGGCAAAAUGGUGCCGUAACUUCGGGAGAAGGCACGCUGAUAUGUAGGUGAAGUCCCUCGCGGAUGGAGCUGAAAUCAGUCGAAGAUACCAGCUGGCUGCAACUGUUUAUUAAAAACACAGCACUGUGCAAACACGAAAGUGGACGUAUACGGUGUGACGCCUGCCCGGUGCCGGAAGGUUAAUUGAUGGGGUCAGCGCAAGCGAAGCUCUUGAUCGAAGCCCCGGUAAACGGCGGCCGUAACUAUAACGGUCCUAAGGUAGCGAAAUUCCUUGUCGGGUAAGUUCCGACCUGCACGAAUGGCGUAAUGAUGGCCAGGCUGUCUCCACCCGAGACUCAGUGAAAUUGAACUCGCUGUGAAGAUGCAGUGUACCCGCGGCAAGACGGAAAGACCCCGUGAACCUUUACUAUAGCUUGACACUGAACAUUGAGCCUUGAUGUGUAGGAUAGGUGGGAGGCUUGGAAGUGUGGACGCCAGUCUGCAUGGAGCCGACCUUGAAAUACCACCCUUUAAUGUUUGAUGUUCUAACGUUGACCCGUGAUCCGGGUUGCGGACAGUGUCUGGUGGGUAGUUUGACUGGGGCGGUCUCCUCCUAAAGAGUAACGGAGGAGCACGAAGGUUGGCUAAUCCUGGUCGGACAUCAGGAGGUUAGUGCAAUGGCAUAAGCCAGCUUGACUGCGAGCGUGACGGCGCGAGCAGGUGCGAAAGCAGGUCAUAGUGAUCCGGUGGUUCUGAAUGGAAGGGCCAUCGCUCAACGGAUAAAAGGUACUCCGGGGAUAACAGGCUGAUACCGCCCAAGAGUUCAUAUCGACGGCGGUGUUUGGCACCUCGAUGUCGGCUCAUCACAUCCUGGGGCUGAAGUAGGUCCCAAGGGUAUGGCUGUUCGCCAUUUAAAGUGGUACGCGAGCUGGGUUUAGAACGUCGUGAGACAGUUCGGUCCCUAUCUGCCGUGGGCGCUGGAGAACUGAGGGGGGCUGCUCCUAGUACGAGAGGACCGGAGUGGACGCAUCACUGGUGUUCGGGUUGUCAUGCCAAUGGCACUGCCCGGUAGCUAAAUGCGGAAGAGAUAAGUGCUGAAAGCAUCUAAGCACGAAACUUGCCCCGAGAUGAGUUCUCCCUGACUCCUUGAGAGUCCUGAAGGAACGUUGAAGACGACGACGUUGAUAGGCCGGGUGUGUAAGCGCAGCGAUGCGUUGAGCUAACCGGUACUAAUGAACCGUGAGGCUUAACC